ACAAUUCACAUGGAUGAAGAACUACGUGCACUGGCUUUCAAUACUUUGCAAGCAUUAAUGCUGGAUUUUCCAGAUUGGCGAGAAGAUGUUUUGUCAGGAUUUGUUUAUUUUAUUGUCCGUGAGGUCACUGAUGUUCAUCCGACACUUCUUGACAACGCUGUUAAGAUGCUAGUGCAGCUAAUCAAUCAGUGGAAACAAGCAGUCCAGAUGCAAAAUAAGAACCAAGAGGCUCAGCGUGGUGUAGCCAAUGGAAGUGCUCCUACUCUUCCCUUAGAAAAGAGUCCUUAUUCAAGUGUAUUCCAUGUCGUAGAAGGCUUCGCGUUGGUCAUUCUUUGUAGCACAAGACCUGCCACAAGAAGACUAGCUGUCAGUUGUCUUAAAGAAAUAAGGGCCUUGUUCACAGUUCUGGACAAUUCUAAGGGUGAUGAAGAGUUGGCCAUAGAUGUAAUGGACAGAAUUAGUCCAUCAGUUCUUGAAAGUUUCAUACAUCUCACUGGUGCU